AUCAUCAUGGCGUAUAUAUGAUGUGUGUGUGUAUGUGAAUAUUCCACAUUUCACGAAUAUUCUUUACAUAUAUGUGAUUAGUUUCAAAAUAAACACCACCAUCACAUAUUCAUUUUUUUUAAUGACCAUUUUCGUAAGUGGCCAAUUUUUGUUUUUUGUUUUUAUCGUUGCCAUAAACAUAUACACAGAGAAUAUUUAUUUGCGUAGGCUUAAAAAACUCAUCCCAUUUGAUUCGAAUGAAAUGUACCUUUUUGGAAAGAGAGGAUGGAAAAUCGGAAAUUAAUUUUCGAUUUCUAUUUAUUUACAUAACAAGCAAUCAAUUAAAUCAUGAUAAAUAUCUAAAAAUGAAAUG